rnacentral:sRNA from 1 species
GGCCUGCUGGGGGAGGGGGCCGCGGCGGGCGGGGGAACUCACCUCCGCCGUUCUUGUAGCACAGGCUGCAGCCGUCUCCUCCCGGUGCUCCCUCCUUCCUUCCUUGAGCUCUGUCCACCGCUGCCCACUGGGGGCUACAGCUUCCCGGCUACCCUGGAAGCUGGAGGCCGGGACCAGCUCUUCAGGUGACAGGCCUCUGUGUCUCCACAGUGGGCAGAGGGGAGCCUGCCUGGCUGAUGAGCAAGGCUCGACUUUGUCAUCAAGGCAGAGAAGGGGCCCGGCUCCCUGAUCUGAUCGUGGACACUGCAGUCCCCAGAUGGCUCAUCCCGUUAAGCUAAGCCCGCGGCCAUCCCUCCAGCUUUAGGAGGAAAAGCAGUUCCGGCCCAAGCCAGAUUGAGCUUGCUGGGGUCUUCUCUGGCCCAGCCUUUGACUGAAGCUGGUCUGGAGACAGGGGCGUUAGAGAAAUGACUCAUAGAUGGCCUAAAGAAGCGGGGCCACUCAAGGACCCAGGACAGAGGGAAGAGGGCCAACCCAGCUGGACCACAGGCAAACCCCAUUGCCUUUGAGAGAAAGAAGAGGACCCGGUGAAGUAGGCUCGGAGGGCCUCAGCCCAGCAGGAGUGCGGG